UGUGUGGUAAGCAGGCAGGCAGAGUCUCUGAGUCUGUGUAGGAGGAAGAUGCUGGAGAAAGAGGGGAACAGAAUGUGUCUGAAGGCUCAGGAAGGUGUUGAAGUGUCUUUGCUCAACUUCAGACAACACGGAUUAAGGCCAUGGGGGUUCUUGAUUGACAGCACCAGCAGGACAAUGGGGGGUCUAAGUGCCCUCUGAGCCAACAGACCUGAGGAGGGAGAGAAGCCAACAUGCAAAUCUCUGGAAGCACCAAAAGAUGGGGUCAGCUAAUGCUUCAGAGAGCGUUUGGACUUCAGUCCUGGUCUUGGUCAAAGUGACUACGUAGACAUGAACUUCAUGGCAGAGAAAAACCACUCUCACUCAUGAAGGCAAUGUAUUUUUAUUUUAAGAUGAGGAAUGGCCUGAAUAUACUUUAUUCAUCCCUUGUGUCUUUCCUGUUCAGAAACUUUCAUUUGAGUUAAUGGGUGAUGAAAAGAAAUAGUUAC
ensembl:lncRNA